AGCAGCGCGAGACCCUCGCCAGGCUCUGAAGACGCGGCCUGGCCCUGGCCGUUCGGCCCUUCGUCUGAGCGCAAAGGCUCCAGCACCUCCGCGGCCGAAGCCGCGGGACUUUUCGUGGAAAAUGGGACCCAGCCCGAUCGCCAGCGGCGCUGCAGCGGACUCUGCGGGAACCUAGCUUCUGCUCCAGGACCUCCAGGGCCACCCCAGCUCGCAGGGCGUUCGCAGCGGCUCAGGGCGAAUCACGCUCAUGGUCCCCGUGCGCAUUUUCAGCCCCAGCCGGUACCUCCUUACUCGCCCUCACGACAUUCAUUCCACCCCCUAAAGGUCCUGCCAACCCCAGGCUCUUCCCGAGCAUUCCCGCCCUUCCUCCCUUUUGAAACCGGAGCAAAUCACGGCCGGGCGGAAGCGGGGGAGCCCGGGUGAGAGUCAGUGACUCAGCUGCGGACUCCAAGUGUCGCCGGAGGCCCUGGGGCGCAGGCCCAGCGGGCUGUCGCACAGCUCGGCUGUCCUGUGCCCCUUCCUGACGAGGCUGGGGAGGAAAGGCGGCCCAGAGAAGGCCGGACCAGCUCUCCCCGUCAGCCCCAGGCUCUCGAAUGACAGCGGAUGCCAGCGACCGGGGAUGGGGUCCCGGAAUUGCUGGGUUAAACAAGCUCCGGAUUCAGGCCUGGGCCUGGGCUGGGGUUCCAGGGUUCUGGACCGCCCUCAAAGAAGGAGCUCCCUGGGGCGGCACCUGGCUCUGCUUGAUAGCCCCAGGGACAGGGAGCUCACUACCUAUCAGGGCAGCUCCCCCAGUGCCGAGACCAGCUCGGUCCUGGAGACCCUAACCCAGCGGUGCUAGAGGAAUUAAAGAUACACACAGAAAUAUAGAGGUGUGGAGUGGGAAAUCAGGCGUCUCACAGCCUUCAGAGCUGAGAGCCUCCAACAGAGAUUUACCCACGUGUUUAUUCACAGCAAGCCAGUGAUAAGCACAGUUUCUACAGAUUAUAGAUUAAAAGUACCCCUUAGGGAAACAAAGGGAUGGGCCAAAAUAAAGGGGUGGGUUUGGCUAGUUAUCUGCAGCAGGGGCAUGUCCUUAAGUCACAGAUGGCUCAUGCUAUUGUUUGUGGUUUAAGAACGCCUUUAAGCGGUUUUCUGCCCUGGGUGGGCCAGGUGUUCCUUGCCCUUAUUCCGGUAAACCCACAACCUCCCAGCGUGGGCAUCAUGGCCAUCAUGAACAUGUUACAGUGCUGCAGAGAUUUUGUUUAUGGCCAGAUUUUGGGGGCCUAUUCCCAACACCCUAGCAUUGCUCACACUUGUCCCUGAAGUGUCACCUUGUCGUAGCUGGGCUCUGAGCCCUCUGCCCCAGGGAGGGGUGGCCUUUUGGGCUGAAGGGACUGAGGACAUAGCCGUUGAGCCUGUUGGCCAUUGCUCAAAGAAUGCAGCCUCCUGGUCACCCAUGUUGUCCCCUUGCCAACAAAAAGAGUGAAACACUGUGCAAUGUUUGAAGAGAUUUAUUCUGAGCCAAAUCUAAGUGACUGUGGCCUGUCACACGGCCUCAGAAGAUCCUGAGAACUUGUACCCAGAGUGGUCAGCCUGCAACUGGGUUUUACAAAUUUUAGGGAGACAUAAGACAUCAAUGAAUACUUGCAGGAUGGACAUUGGUUUGGUCCAGAAAGGUGGGGACAACUGGAAGUGACAGAGGGACUUCUAGGUCAUAGGCAGAUUCAAAGAUUUUCUGAUUGGCAAUUGAUUGAAAGAGUUAAGUUGACCGGGCAUGGUGGGCCAUUUCUAUAAUCCUUGCCAUGGGGAGGCUGAGGACCAUUUGAGCCCAGGAGUUAGAUACCAGCUUGGGCAACAUAGAGAGACCUCACUUCUCCAAAAAAAAAAAAAAAAAAAAAGUUAUUUUUUAAAGACUUAGCAUUAAUAGAAAGGAAUGUCUGGUUAAGAUAAGGGGUCGUGGAGACCAGUGUUUCAUGAUCAGAUGAAGCCUCCAGGUAGCAGGCUUCAGAGAGAAUAGAUUGUAAAUGUUUCUCAUCAGACUUAAAGAGUCUGUUCUCUCAGUCUUUAAGGGGUGUGUUGAUGUUACUGCUGGUCAGCUGGGCCUGAAAUCCAAAGGGAGGAGGGUACAGUGAGGCAUAUCCAACACCCAUUUCCUGUCGUGGUCUGAACUAGUGUUUCAGGUUAACCCUGGACUGCCCUUGGUCAAGAGCAGGGGUGCAUUCAGAUGGUGGGGGUGCUUAGAAUUUCAUUUUUGGUUUACACCACUGUGUCCUCUCCUGCCAGGGGAGGGACCCAGAGCUGGAGGCUUAGCCCUGGAGAUACCGGUGAAGAUGGAUGAAUGAGAAACCAGUUGGAGCUUCCAAGGUCUCUACCCACCCUCCAGACCUCCUCUGCUCCUGCCCCUGCCCAUUCAUUCCCAACUUCUGCUCUCCCAGCUCCCCUCCCACCCACAUGCUGUUCCCUCCUCUUCCAUCUUCCGCUUCCUGGGCCCAGAGACUGGGCAAGAUCCCCAGGGCUCUCCUUGCACAGCGAACCUCUCCCAGGGUGCAUAGCCUUGCUGCAAUCUUACACAGGGAAUACAUAAGCAAGGAAUACUUCUGUCCCUCUUGGACUCUGAAGCCAGAAGGCCAGGGCCUGGUUGGCCUCCUAACUGCUGUGUCCCAGGGCCAGAGCAGUGCCAGACACCCAGCAGUCUUAGCACCCACGAAAGCUGGAGGGACCCACACCUUCCCCAUCACUCAGUUGCAUCAGUCUAACGCAAUGGAUUUGGGCAGCUUGUGGUGGUUCACUGGCAGUUUAUUGGGGGACUUGAAGGAGUCAAGGUCAAGUGGGGGACUUCUGGGUGCCAGACCUGGCCCUUCCUUGGCCUGGGCUUGGGGUGUCCAAGCCCACAGAGCCAUGCAGGGGGAAAGAGCUAGGCAAGCAGGGUGGUUGAGGAGGUCAUUAGCGUGGCCUCGAGGGAAAACAAUUCCAAGAGGAGCCCAAAUUCGAAUGUCCCCUGGUGUCAUUGAGAAUGGAGAGAUUUAGGUUAUGAAUUGUGCAGUUGGUGGGUAGCAAGCCAGGGUCCUGAAGAUAGUCUGCAUAUCCCCUGGUGUCAUUGAGAAUGGAGAGGUUCAGGUUAUGAAUUGUGCAGUUGGGGGUAUCAAGCCAGGGUCCUGAAGAUAGUCUGCAUAUCCCCUGGUAUAUAUCAUUUAUAUAAGGAUGUUACUUAACUAUUGCUGUCUUCCAGAGGCAGCUUCUUGAACAAAUACUUGAGGUCCUCUAUAGGUUUACGGGAGUAGACUGUUUUCUCCAAGCAGGCCUGUCGUCCAUCAGGAGAAGCAAAAGGUUUUAUUCUAGAGACAAGUCCUUCCAACUGUACAGCUGAUGGAGUAGCCAAGGAAACCUGGUAUGGACCCUUUCAUUUCUCAGUGAACUAAGCCUCUGGGCUUCCUUUUCGCCAUGUCUUGAGUAGGACCUGUGCACCUGGGCUAGCAGGGAAAUGAUCUGAAACUCCAUGACCCGGCUGAGGUCACAUCUUAUUAUCAUAUUGCAAGAUGGCCUGCUGAACUUGUCCCAAGUUAAUGAUGUAUUUUACCACCUGAUUUAAAUCUUCGUCUAGAAGAAAGUGGCUAGGAAGCGGCUAGCAACAGGAGGAGUGGGUUGGGCAGAUUCAUUCUGUCCCAGCUUCCUAGGAUGGAAUGAGCAGUCCCUUUCCCAGUGCCCCUCCUUCCUAUGGUAGGAACAUGGGUUACAGGAGCCAAGGGGCCAAGCCGCUCUGUCUGGGCCACCUGUUUGGCAGCUUCACCAGCUCAGCUGUCUCCUCGGCUGGUUAAAGAACUGCCUGCUGGGGCCCUUCAUGGUGCAUGACAGCUAUCUGGGCAGGGAGCUGAACUGCCUCAAGAAGGGACAGAAUCACUUUUUUAUGUUUUAUGGGGGAGCUCCUAGGAGUCCACAAUCUCCUCUCUUUCCAGACAGCUGCAUGAACAUGGAGCACUAGGAAUCCAUACUUAGAGGCAGGAUAUACAUUAAGUAUUUUCCUUCCCUUAGUUAAAGAGCCAUGACUAGGGCUUUGAGCUCUGCUUCAUGAGUGGAAGUGCUUGGGGCAAGGGCUUUUGCUUCUACAAUGUGGUUCAAGCCAACAGCAGCAUAGCUUGUCUUUUGGAUGCCAUUUUCUACAAAGCUGUUCCCAGAUGUAAAUAAUUCUUUAUCUGUAUUUUCUAAGGGGGAGUCCUGCAGGUCCAUUUGUCUAGAAUAGGUCUGCUCUAAAGUCUCCACACAAGUGUGUUUGUGUCUCUGAAGUGGGCGAGGGAACCAGGGCAGCAGGAUUCAAGGUCUAACACACCUUUAAGGUUCAGUCGAGGGUGUCUAGCAGCAGGGCCUGCUAUAAAGUUAGGCUUCCCCAGCCAGUGGUGCUCUUUUAUUUCUAACACAUUCCAGACCUGGUGAGGAGUGUCAACCUGAAGGGGUUGGCCUCAUGUGAGUUGGGAGGCCUCUCUGACCAGGAGGCUGGUGGCCACCACUGCCCUAAGUCAGCUUGGCCUUCCCUGGGCUACUGGGUCUCAUUGCUUUGAAAGUAACCACUGGCCAUUGGAUGGACUCCAGAUUCUGAAUUAGGACAUCCAGGGCUGGCCUGAACCUCUCCUAUACAUAUAGGAAGAAAGGCUUCUACAAUUGUGGGAGUCCUAGGUCAGGGGCCUUCCUAACUCAGAUUUUAGGGUUUCAUAUGCUUGCUGACAGGCUUCUACCCAGUGGGAUAAUUGGUUUUCUCCACUCUUGAGUGGGUUUAAGUAUGAGGCCAAAGUUUAGGAUCUAAACCCAGCAGAAGCCAGCCAUCUGCAGAAAUCCGUGCAGCUCUCUUCUACUACCAGGGACUAGUAGUGAAGCAAUGGCCCGCUUUCAGUCUGGGGCAAGCAUCCUGGCUUCUGGGGUAAGUAUGAACCCUAGUCAUCGAACCUGUGUCUGGGAGAUCUGGGCCUUUAAGGGGAAGACCUUAUAUUCCCAUUCAGCCAAGAAAUUUAAGGUUUUAAUAGUAUGUUCUUGAAAACUAUGGAAGCCCUCACUAGCAAUAAGCAAAUCAUCCACAUAUUGCAAUAAGAUUCCACUUGUAAGUUUAAGAUCUCUGAGGUCUUUUGCCAGGGCCUUCCCAGAGAGGUAGGAGCUAUCCUGAAACCCCUGGGGUAGCACUGUCCAGGUAUAUUGGGAAGUUUCCUGGGUCUCUGGAUACUUCCAUUCAAAGGCAAAAAUGUAGGAGAAUUUGGGAUGCAAUGGGAUACAAAAGUAAGUGUCCUCUAGAUCCAGCACCAUGUAGAACUGAGUGCGCCUAGGGAUCUGAGAGAGGAGUGUGGAUAGAUUGGGAACUAUAGGAUGACUGGGAACAACUGAGUCAUUCACUGCCCUAAGCCAUUCACUCCUAAAAGGAGUACCCUAAACCAGUACUCCCCUUUUGGUUUCUCCACAGGCAAGAUUGGGGUAUUACAAGGUGACUGGCAGGGCUGAAUAGGCCUGUGCUGUAGGAAUUUUUCCAGGAGGAGCUGUAUUCCCUGUAGGUCUUCUGUCCUCAAAGGGUAUUGGGGCUUGCAUGGGUAGGGUACACUUGGCUUAAGUUUUAUCUUAAUAGGCUCUGCAAUGAUGGCUUGUCUUAGAGUACUGGCAUCCCAUAUAAACUUUGCCACUUGACAUACUAUCUCUUCCAGGACAGGAGGUAGCUUCUGACCUUUGGGAGCCAGAAGGGCCAGUAAAUGGAUUCUCUUCUCGGAGGUACUGAGACUUAUAUUGCAUCCCCUGGAGGGAAACUGAGGCUCCCAGGUUGGAUAAUAAAUCAUAACCUAUUAAAGGAAGGGGACACUCAGGGAUAUAUAGGAAAGAAUGAGUAAUACCCUUAAAUCCAAUUUCACAAGUCAAAGGAAAGGCAAAUCAUUUUACCUUCUCCUGGCCAUCUAUUCCCAUCACCAUACAGUUGGCAUUGCAGAGGUCCCACAGGUUGGGUCAGGACAGAGUAGGUGGUCCCAGUAUCCAAUAGUUAUUCAGGUUUCCUGCCUGCUACAUUGAGAGUGACCUGAGGCUUUGCGGUGGUGAUGCCAACAGAACGCUUCAAGACUGCAGCUGGGAGAGCACUUGGGCUACAUCCAGCAGAGAGGGUGGCCUUUUCAUACAAGAGACUAGCAUCAAGAGGAGUGGGUUGGGGAGAUUCAUGCUGUCAUGACUUCACAGGAUGGAAUGAACAGUCCCUUUUCCAGUGCCCCUCUUUCUUAUAAUAAGAACAUUGGUUGUCCCUCAGUCCUAUUGCUGCUGGUUGAGGUCUGGUCACCCCUUGUCUGGAGUGUUUCUCCUGCCUAGGGUCACCUUGAGGCAGACCUGUAAUUAUGGCAGCCAAAAUUUUUGCCCGAUUUUUCAUUCUCUCAUCCUUUUUUUCCUCCCCUGCCUGGUCCUUAUUGUUAAAAACCUUAAAGGCCUCCGCUAUCCACGUCACCUGAGGUGUCUUGGGGUAAGCUUCCAGUUUCUGAACCUUUCUCCAAAUGUCGGGUGGAACUUGAGUUAUGAAAUGCAUGGUAGUUGUAUGUUCAUUUUUAUAAGAAACUGUCAAACUGUUUUCCAUAGUGGCUGUACCAUUUUAAAUUUUCACCAGCUGUGUAUGAGUGAUCCAGUUACUCUGCAUCCUUUUCAGGAUUUGGUGUUGUCACUAUUUUUUAUUCUAGCCAUUCUCAUAGGUAUGUGGUGAUAUCUCAUUGUGGCUUAAAUUUGCAUUUUAUAAAGGAUAAGGAUGGCCUGGGCGCAGUGGCUCACGUCUGUAAUCCCAGCACUUUGGGAGGCUGAGGCGGGUGGAUCACGAGGUCAGGAGAUUGAUACCAUGGUGAAACCCCAUCUCUACUAAAAAUACAAAAAAAAUUAGCCAGGCGCAGUGGCGGGCGCCUGUAGUCCCAGCUACACAGGAGGCUGAGGCAGGAGAAUGGCGUGAACCCAGGAGGCGGAGCUUGUAGUGAGCUGAGAUCGCGCCACUGCACUCCAGCCUGGGCGACAGAGUGAGACUCUGUCUCAAAAAAAAAAAAAAAAGGAUAAGGAUGUUGAUUAUUUUUUAAUGUGCUUAUUUGCCACUCACAUCUGCUUGCUGACAAAAUGUCUGUUUAUAUGCCUUGUCCAUGUUCUCAUUGAUUUUUUUUUUUUACUGUUGAGUUUUAAGAGUUCUUUGUAUAUUUUAGAUAAAACUCUUUGUCAGAUUGUGGCUUGUAAAUAUUUUCUCUUAGUCUGUAGCUUGUCUUUUCAUCCUAAUAACAGAGUCAAUAGCAAAGCAAAAGUCUUAAUGUUGGUGAGGUCCAGUUUAUCAAUUGUUCCUUCUAUGGAUUCAGCUUUUGGUGUCAAUUUUAAGAACUUUUUACCUAGCCCUAGAUGGUAUCUUUUUAUGUUUUUUAGUCUAGAGAUGUCAUCUUUUUAUUCCUGAUAUUGAUAAUUUGUGCCUUCUUACUCAUGAUCAAUCUUUCUAAGGAUUUAUAAGUUUUAUUAGUUUUUUCAAAUAAGCAACCUUUUAUUUUUAUUUUUUGAUGAAUUUUCUAUUAGUUUGAAUUUCUUCUUUCUGUGGAUAUAUUUGCUAUUCUUUUUCUAAUUUCUUGAAGUAGAUACUCAGUUCUCUGUCUUUAAGAAUUUUUCCCAUGAAUGGAUUAUUUUAGACCACAAGUUUCUCUUAAGCAUAUCUUUGUCACUAUACCGCAAGUAAUAAUAGGUCAUGUAAACAGUAUAAUUCUUUUUUGGAGAAACAGUGUAAUUAUUUUUGGACACUAUGUCAUGCAGGUUGGAGUGCAGUGGCAUGACCAUGGCUCACUGCAGCCUUAACCUUCUGGGCUCAGGUGAUCCUCCCACCUCCACCUCCAUAGCAGCUGGGACUACAGGUGGGCACUACCACACCUUGCCAGUUGUUAAAAUUUUCUGUAGAGACGGGUUCUCACUAUGUUGCCCAGGCUGCUAACUCAUGGGCUCAAGCAACCUUCCCACCUCACCCUCCCAAAGUGCUGGAAUUACUGGCAUGAGUCACUGUACCUUGCCUCAGUAUAAUUUAAUACAAAUAUUUUCCAACUUCCUUUGUGACUGUCUUCUGAGACUUAGAAUAUGCAUAAAUUUAUUUCUUAUCUUCCAAACCUUUGGGGAUAUUUUAUUUUUUGAUAUCGGUGUUUUAUUUAAUUGCAUUAUGGUCAAAAACUUGCCACACGAUUUCAAGUCAUUGACAUUGUGGAGAUUUGCUUUAUCCCCAGCAUAUGGACAAAAAUUUGAUGAACAUUCCAUGUACACUUGAAAAAAUUGUGACUUUUUAGUUGUUCGGUGCAGUGCCCUGUAUAUGUUAGUGGGCCAAGGUUGUUAAUGAUGUUCAAAUAUUGCAUAUUUUUAUUAAUUUGCUGGAUUGUUCUGUCACACACUGAAAGAAGUAUGUUGAAAUUUACCAUUUCAUCUUUUAUUUCUGUUAAUGUUUGCUUUAUAUAUUUUGAGGUUAUGUUAACAGAUGCAUACACAUUUAGAAUUAUUGUAUCCACCUGUUGGAUUUACCCUUUUGCAAUUAUGAAAAGCCCUCCAUUAUAGUAAUGUUUCCUGUAUCAACAUCACUUUUGUCUGACAGUAGAAACUCUGCCAGAUUCUUUCACUUAGUGUUUGCCUGGUGUUGACUCAGCUCCACACCAACCAUCCCCACUCCACCUCUGUGGCUGGCCCUAGCUCCGCAAACUCAUUUCUGCUGGGCCAGCUGGUGCUGUGCUAAAUUCUCCCACUAGGGGCACCAGAGAAAGCACGCAAGGCUGGGGAAGAUGGGGAAUGUGCUCCUUUCAGUUUGCUUCCGGUUUCUUUCCCAGGCUUCCGGUCUACCUGCCACUGGGGCCACGUGUCCUCUGGAUGCUGCUGGUUCACCUGGCAGUGGCACUUCCCCACCUAGCUGCUAAAACUGGGUUGCUGGUUCCCGACUCUGCAGAAUCAGCUUGAUCUCCCCGCUAGAGACCUCAAACCACUGCUAGGGACACCUCAUCUCGGGGGUCUGGGUUUCAGGCCGUAGGCCCUUCCAGCUCAGACCCUGGCAGCAGCUGCCAUCCCUCUUCAGAGGCCAGAUCCCAGUGUGGCAGCCGCCCUGGGGCACCUGGGGAGUGACUCAUUUUCAUGAAUUCCAGCUUAUUAGUUUUAUUAAUUCUCCCCUUUGUACCCCAGACUGAGUGGUGGUGGCUGCCUUGUGUGGUUGCUAUUUUCCUGAUACGUGGGCUGGCAAACCAAAACCUGAGACCACAGCCAGCUGCAGUCCUGUGUUCCUACAACCUUAGGGUCUCGCUUUGUCGCCCGGCUGGAGUGCAGUGGUACGAUCACGGCUUGCUGCAGCCUUGACCUCCUGGGCUCACGGCAUCCUCCCAUUUCAGCCUCCUGAAUAGCUGGGACUACAGGUGUGCGCCAUCAUGCCCAUCUACGUUUUGCAUUUUUUGUAGAGAUGGGGUCUCAUUUCGUUGCCCAGACUGGUCUCAAACUCCUGGGCUCAAGCGAUUCGCCAGACUUGGCCUCCCAAAGUGCUAGGAUUACAGGCGUGAGCUCACACGCUUGGCAAAAUCGAAUGUUUAAUGUAUUAAUUUUCCAAUUUUCUUCUCUCCUAUUAUAAACAUUUAAAUUUCUAACUGCUUAUAAAUUUCUCCUUGAGUACUGCUUUAGCUUUACCCUGAAGGUUUUUUUUUUUUUCAUUUUGGUAUAGAUUUUUAACUGUUCAAUUUAAAGUAUUUUAAAAUUUUCAGUUUGGUUCCCUCCUCCAAUUGUUUUAGAGACAGGGUUUUGCUCUGUCACCCAGGCUGGAGUGCAGUGGCCCAAUCAUACCUCACUGUAACUCGAACUCCUGGGCUCAAUCAACCCUCCUGCCUCAGCCUCCCAAAUAGCUAGUACCAUAGGCAUGCAACACCACACUCAGGUAUCUUAAAAUUUUUUGUAGGGAUGGGGUAUUGUCAUCUUGCCCUUGCUGGUCUCAAACUCCUUGGCUCAAGCAAUACUCCUACCUCAGCCCCUCAAAGCUCUGGGUAGUUUUCCAUCUUUGAGAAGAAGGCCUGAUCUGUAAUUGUUGGGUGCAAGGUCCCACAUAUGUAUAUUCAGUCAGUCUUGUCAGUUAUCUUGUUCAGUGUUUUCACUAUACUUUGCAUUCUAGAUCUAUCAAUUAUUGAGCAAUGUGUGUUAAAAUAUUUCAUUACAUUGUCAGUUUUGUCAAUUUUUCCCCGUAUUUACAACAUCUUUUACUUCCUUAUAUUGAAACACCUCU
rnacentral:lncRNA from 1 species